CAGUCGCCGCGGUAAUACGAAGGGUGCAAGCGUUACUCGGAAUUACUGGGCGUAAAGCGUGCGUAGGUGGUGGUUUAAGUCCGUUGUGAAAGCCCUGGGCUCAACCUGGGAAUUGCAGUGGAUACUGGGUCACUAGAGUGUGGUAGAGGAUAGUGGAAUUUCCGGUGUAGCAGUGAAAUGCGUAGAGAUCGGAAGGAACAUCUGUGGCGAAGGCGGCCAUCUGGGACAACACUGACGCUGAGGCACGAAAGCGUGGGGAGCAAACAGGAUUAGAUACCCCGGUAGUCCCUGUCUCUUAUAC
rnacentral:rRNA from 1 species